rnacentral:rRNA from 1 species
AACGAACGCUGGCGGCAGGCCUAACACAUGCAAGUCGAGCGCGCCUUUCGGGGUGAGCGGCGGACGGGUUAGUAACGCGUGGGAAUAUGCCCAAAGGUACGGAAUAGCCUCUGGAAACGGAGAGUAAUACCGUAUGUGCCCUUCGGGGGAAAGAUUUAUCGCCUUUGGAUUAGCCCGCGUUAGAUUAGGUAGUUGGUGGGGUAAUGGCCUACCAAGCCUACGAUCUAUAGCUGGUUUGAGAGGAUGAUCAGCAACACUGGGACUGAGACACGGCCCAGACUCCUACGGGAGGCAGCAGUGAGGAAUCUUGGACAAUGGGGAAACCCUGAUCCAGCCAUGCCGCGUGAACGAUGAAGGCCUUAGGGUUGUAAAGUUCUUUCGCCUGGGAAGAUAAUGACGGUACCAGGUAAAGACCCG